CUGCAAACAUCCCUCUCUCUAAUUAUGGAUGUGGGAGUGUAGCUCAUCAGUGGUAAUGAGAUGUUUAAAGCAUAAAUCAACAACAGAAUAUCACGAUGAGACCCAGUUCCCCUCAGCUGUGCUGCAGACAAGGCAGGUUGCUGAAGAUUACAGGUUAAUAGCAGUGCAGAGAAACUGGGUGAUCUGGUGUAACUGGGCCUGAACGCUGGAGCAAAGCUGGGAUGUCAGCAUGGGAUGGAUGUUUUACAGCUCAGGGAGAACCGCCGGAUGAGCGGCAGCGGUGGGGAAAGUGCAAAUACCCGGAGACACCCAAGGCUGGGAAUGUGGUUUGAGCGCUGAACUGCCCCUCGCAUUACACACGCAAUUACAAGCUGUGUGGUGAGCAGAUGGGAGCUCCAGGGAGGCUUUAAGCUGGCGGAACGCGCGUGAGGGAAGGCAGGAGGAGAUAUCCAAGCCUCCCCUGGAGAGCGUGAGCCGCGCUCGCCGCGGUCCCGGCUGGAUCUGCUCCACGGGCCUGCUGGGCUAACUCCACCCUGGGGAGCUGCAUGCUGCUGCUGCUGACUCGAAUCCAUCCUAAAGAUGCCGCAAGAAGUGCCUGUGGAGGCUGGCUCUGUGCUCAGCCACGGGAGAUGCCACGAGCCCACAGGCUGUGCUGGCCUUUCCUCAGCAUUCCCUGAGCUCCAGGAUUUCCAAGCUUUGAUGAGACCUCUGGGCGCUGUCCUGUGCUGGAGGAAAGCCCCCUGUGAGGACAAGGACACGGUGACUGGAGAGUUCUUUGCCUUUCAAACUCAGUUGUGGCUGCUGCUGCUCUGUCCCGAGCUUGGCUUUGUGUCCUUCCAGCAUCCUGGCACGGUGGAGUCCAUGGGGAAGGAGGCUGGGAGCUCGGCCAGAGGUGAGACCACGGCUUUCCUGGCCUCCUCCCUCCCUGAACAUUUGUUACAUCCCCACGAAGGCUUCUUGCCAGCCAAAGAUCUUCAGGGCAUCCCCCAGACAGAGCAGAAGAACAGGGGUGAGCCACUGGCUGUGGAAACAUCCUGCACGGAAAAUGCUGUGGAUGAAUUUGCAGGCCAAUUUCAGACAAAUUGCUUUUCUUGCUUGUCCUGCAUCUAUUUCCUCCAACCAGCUUCUGCCCUGGAAGGUUUCGUUUGGAAGCACCAUCCCACAAGGAAAUCAAUUGUGUUUUGGUUUGAAAUUGCACACUUCUCCAUAUUUCCUUAUCUUCAGCUAAGUGGCCGUCACCUCCUAAUUAUAAUUUCCUCUUUUUUUAACUACUGGGCUCAAUUUACAGCCUAAUUACUCUUACCUUGUUUGUUUAAUGAAGCUUAUAUAAUGAUUCCUGUGAUCUUCAUGAAACGUUACGCUGGGAUUUUCCUUUUCGCUUUAUAAACUGCGAUUUUAUAUUAAUGUUUUUAACCUCAGGUUUCUAAUCAUAAAGUCAUAAGGAGUUUAAUUGAUUUGAAACUAGCCAUGCCCUGAAGUGUGUACAUGUCAGAUUGAUUCAAAUUGAUCCAACGUGUUUAAAUAAAACUCGUGCCAAAAGCCCGUUGCACCUUAUGCUGCCAGAUAUUUGCCCAAAGCCCUCUGGUUACUUAAUUAUGCUGCCAUCUCAGUGUAAUAAAUUAUUGAUUAGGA